AUUGAACGCUGGCGGCAUGCCUUACACAUGCAAGUCGAACGGCAGCACGGGUGCUUGCACCUGGUGGCGAGUGGCGAACGGGUGAGUAAUACAUCGGAACGUACCUUAUCGUGGGGGAUAACGCAGCGAAAGCUGUGCUAAUACCGCAUACGCCCUGAGGGGGAAAGCGGGGGAUCGAAAGACCUCGCGCGAUUAGAGCGGCCGAUGCCUGAUUAGCUUGUUGGUGUGGUAAAAGCCCACCAAGGCGACGAUCAGUAGCUGGUCUGAGAGGACGAUCAGCCACACUGGGACUGAGACACGGCCCAGACUCCUACGGGAGGCAGCAGUGGGGAAUUUUGGACAAUGGGGGCAACCCUGAUCCAGCAAUGCCGCGUGAGUGAAGAAGGCCUUCGGGUUGUAAAGCUCUUUUGUCAGGGAAGAAACACCGGCUCUAACACAGUCCGGGAAUGACGGUACCUGAAGAAUAAGCACCGGCUAACUACGUGCCAGCAGCAGCCGCAG
rnacentral:rRNA from 1 species